AUUCCACACAGGAAGGUCAGACCAUCCCUCACCAUCAUCAGGGUGAAGAACUGAAAGACAUCAAAGCCGAGAUUAAAGAAGAAGAGAUGUUCAUGAGUGGAGAUCAGCAGUCUAUGGGAGAGGGAGGUCCUCUGUAUUCCCGGGAUUCCACACAGGAAGAUCACAACAUCCCUCACCAUCAUCAGGGUGAAGAAUUGAAAGACCUAAAAGUUGAGGUUAAAGCGGAAGGGACAUUGAUAAAGGGAGAUCAGCAGUCUAUGGAGGAGGGAGGUCCUCUGUAUU